rnacentral:rRNA from 1 species
UGGGGAAUUUUGCACAAUGGGGGAAACCCUGAUGCAGCGACGCCGCGUGAUUUAGAAAGUCUUCGGAUUGUAAAAAUCUUUUGUAUAGGAAGAAAAUGACAGUACUAUACGAAUAAGGUCCGGCUAAUUACGUGCCAGCAGCCGCGGUAAUACGUAAGGACCGAGCGUUGUCCGGAAUCAUUGGGCGUAAAGGGUACGUAGGCGGUUUAGUAAGUUAGAAGUGAAAGGCAAUAGCUCAACUAUUGUAAGCUUUUAAAACUGCUAAACUUGAGAGAUUGAAGGGAAAGUGGAAUUCCUAGUGUAGCGGUGAAAUGCGCAGAUAUUAGGAGGAAUACCGGUGGCGAAGGCGACUUUCUGGCAAUCAUCAGACGCUGAGGUACGAAAGCGUGGGUAGCAAACA